AUGUACAGGUCUGCCCACGAGAAAUCUAGAGGACGCAUAAACUGGUCAGUCAUGGAGCACUUUAACAGCUGGAUUAGAGAACAUGGCUUGGAUGAUAUUCAUAUUGCAAAUCACAAAUAUACUUGGUCCAAUAAGAGAAGGGAACCAACGCUUGUUAAGCUGGACAGGGUGCUCGUCAAUGCCGAGUGGAAUUUGGGUUACUUCCAAACUGUGGCCACUGCCAUAAUGGCCGCAACUUCUGAUCAUGCUCUGUUCAUCGUGGAAUUCAGUAAAGACACCACCAGAAGCAAUUUUUUCAGGUUCGAGAAUUUUUGGCUGGAUAUUGAAGAGGUCAGGGGGGUUAUCUCAGAAGGUUGGACUAGAGGCACCAGGGCCUCUGCUGCAACUACAUCUCUUAUCAGCAUUAAGAUGAGAAGAAUUCGAGCUGCCAUCCGCAAGUGGGGUAGAAGCAGGGGAAGUGUUCAGCUGCUCAUGGAAAAUAACAAGCAUGUUGUGGACUUUUUGAAUGCGGUUGAGGAGUAUAGGACACUCUCUAACUUGGAGUUUUGUCUUAGAAAUCAUGCCAAUAAGAAAGUCCAGCAGUUAAUCCUUUGGCAAACUAGCAUUUGGAGGAGAAGGGCAAAAAUCCGUCAAUGCACUUUGGGGGAUGAAAACACCUGUUUUUUCCAUGCUGCUGCAAAUAGUCAUUCAAGAAGGAACAAAAUCAGAGUUCUUGUCAAGGAUGGUAUCGAAUUCUUUGAUGAUGAGGACAAGCUCAGGAUAGCAACUGAGCAUUUCAACACCUUGUUCGGACAGGCCUCUCCUUCGGUACCGGUUGUAGAUAUCUCAGCGCUCUAUGAUCCGAUCGACCUAAGCUCGCUAGAAGAGAAGUUUUCAUGGGCCGAAAUCGUCUCUGCAAUCAACCGUUCCCCGAACAACCGUAGCCCUGGGCCGGAUGGUUUCAUAAAUGAGUUCUACAAAUGCUUCAAGGAAACUCUAAAACCUGAUCUGCUGAAUUUUUUCAGUGACUUUCAUGCAAAUAAUGCCGAUCUCUCAGGCGUCAAUUCUGCAUCCAUUGUCUUGCUGCCUAAAAAAGAAAUUUCAAUGGAGAUUAAGGACUUCCGGCCUAUAUCCUUGGUGCAUAGCCUCCCCAAGCUAGCCACUAAAGUCUUAACUACCAGGCUGCAGCUGUGGAUACCUAAACUAGUGCACCCACUACAAUCUGGUUUCCUUGCUGGCAGAUGCAUUGUUGAACAUUUUCCCCUCGCUGCGGAGCUUGUACAUUAUGCAAAAAAGAAGAAGAUACCAAUGAUUGUACUGAAGCUAGACUUCAAGAAAGCUUUUGAUAGUGUUAGCUGGGAUCCACUGUUUGCUGUUUUGGCCGCCAGGGGUUUUGGACAAAGGUGGAUCUUCUGGAUCAAGAACCUUCUCUACACAAGUUGGCAAGGGUUACUUUGA
rnacentral:rRNA from 1 species